rnacentral:rRNA from 1 species
AGACGUCUACAUUAGAUACCCCUGUAGUCCCAGCCGUAAACUAUGCGCGUUAGGUGUAUCGGUGACCACGAGUCACCGAGGUGCCGAAGGGAAACCGUGAAACGUGCCGCCUGGGAAGUACGGUCGCAAGGCUGAAACUUAAAGGAAUUGGCGGGGAGCACCACAACGGGUGGAGUCUGCGGUUUAAUUGGACUCAACGCCGGGAAGCUCACCGGAUAAGACAGCGGAAUGAUUGCCGGGCUGAAGACUCUGCAUGACUAGCUG